AUAACAGGUCUGUGAUGCCCUUAGAUGUGCUGGGCCGCACGCGGGAUACAAUGACCCGUUCAGAAAGUAUAACCUGACCCGGAAGGGAGUGGGUAAUCUUUUUAAUGCGGGUCGUGCUAGGGAUCGAUCUUUGCAAUUAUAGAUCUUGAACGAGGAAUACCUAGUAAGUGCAAGUCAUCAGCUUGUACUGAUUACGUCCCUGGUGUUUGUACUCACCGCCCGUCGCUCCUACCAAUUUCGAAUGAUCCGGUGAACCUUUUGGAUUGGGUGCAAGCCUAAGAAGUUAAGUAAACCUUAUCAUUUAGAGGAAGGAGAAGUCGUAACAAGGUUUCCGUAGGUGAACCUGCAGAAGGAUCA
rnacentral:rRNA from 1 species